rnacentral:rRNA from 1 species
AGAGUUUGAUCAUGGCUCAGAAUGAACGCUGGCGGCGUGCUUAACACAUGCAAGUCGAGCGAGAAAGUUUCUUCGGAAAUGAGUAAAGCGGCGAACGGGUGAGUAAUACAUAAGAAUCUACCCUUUAGUGUGGAAUAUCUUCAAGAAAUUGAAGUUAAUACCGCAUAAGUCCUAUGGGAGAAAGGCGGCUUUAUGCUGUCGCUAAAGGAGGAGCUUAUGAACUAUCAGCUAGUUGGUAGGGUAAAGGCCUACCAAGGCUAUGACGGUUAACCGGCCUGAGAGGGUGUACGGUCACAUUGGAACUGAGAUACGGUCCAGACUCCUACGGGAGGCAGCAGUGGGGAAUAUUGCGCAAUGGGCGAAAGCCUGACGCAGCGACGCCGCGUGGAGGAUGAAAGUCUUCGGAUUGUAAACUCCUGUCAGGUGGGAAGAAAGGCUUUUUUUUAAUAGAAAAGAGUUAUGACGGUACCAUCAGAGGAAGCACUGGCUAAUCUCGUGCCAGCAGCCGCGGUAAUACGAGAGGUGCUAGCGUUAUUCGGAAUUAUUGGGCGUAAAGGGCGCGUAGGCGGUCUAUUAAGUUUGUUGUUAAAGCCUCUGGCUUAACCGGAGAAAAGCAAUAAAAACUGAUAAACUAGAGGGUGAGAGAGAGAAGUGGAAUUCCCGGAGUAGCGGUAAAAUGCGUAGAUCUCGGGAGGAACACCAAUGGCGAAGGCUGCUUCUUGGCUCACAACUGACGCUGAGGCGCGAAAGCGUGGGGAGCAAACAGGAUUAGAUACCCUAGUAGUCC